GUGCUCGAUUUGGCAACAUGUAUACUAAAAUUAGAACAAUACAGAGAAGAUUAACAUGGCCCCCAUGCUAGAAUGACACACACACACAUUUUUGAAGUAUUUUAUUUGU